rnacentral:piRNA from 1 species
UAACCACCUGUUAAAUGAUUGAUCCCGCCUA